rnacentral:rRNA from 1 species
UACGUAGGAUGCGAGCGUUGUCCGGAAUUAUUGGGCGUAAAGAGAACGUAGGCGGUUUGUUAAGUUUGGGCUUAAAGACUGGGGCUCAACCCCAGGAGUGGCUCGAAAACUGACAGACUAGAGGAUGGCAGAGGAAAGUGGAAUUCCCAGUGGUAGCGGUGAAAUGCGUAGAUAUUGGGAGGAACACCAGUGGCGAAAGCGACUUUCUGGGCCAUUCCUGACGCUGAGGUUCGAAAGCUCGGGGAGCAAACAGG